CCGCCGGCGAAACUCAGCCUG
rnacentral:siRNA from 1 species